rnacentral:rRNA from 1 species
UAAUGCAUCGGAACGUGCCAUUGAGUGGGGGAUAACUAUCCGAAAGGAUAGCUAAUACCGCAUAUUCUGUGAGCAGGAAAGCAGGGGAUCGCAAGACCUUGCGCUCUUUGAGCGGCCGAUGUCAGAUUAGCUAGUUGGUGGGGUAAAGGCUCACCAAGGCGACGAUCUGUAGCGGGUCUGAGAGGAUGAUCCGCCACACUGGGACUGAGACGCGGCCCAGACUCCUACGGGAGGCAGCAGUGGGGAAUUUUGGACAAUGGGGGCAACCCUGAUCCAGCCAUGCCGCGUGAGUGAAGAAGGCCUUCGGGUUGUAAAGCUCUUUCGGCCGGGAAGAAAUCGCAUCUCCUAAUACGGGGUGUGGAUGACGGUACCGGACUAAGAAGCACCGGCUAACUACGUGCCAGCAGCCGCGGUAAUACGUAGGGUGCGAGCGUUAAUCGGAAUUACUGGGCGUAAAGCGUGCGCAGGCGGUUUUUUAAGACAGGCGUGAAAUCCCCGGGCUUAACCUGGGAACUGCGCUUGUGACUGGAAGGCUAGAGUACGGCAGAGGGGGGUGGAAUUCCACGUGUAGCAGUGAAAUGCGUAGAGAUGUGGAGGAACACCGAUGGCGAAGGCAGCCCCCUGGGCCGAUACUGACGCUCAUGCACGAAAGCGUGGGGAGCAAACAGGAUUAGAUACCCUGGUAGUCCACGCCCUAAACGAUGUCAACUAGGUGUUGGGUGGGUAAAACCAUUUAGUACCGGAGCUAACGCGUGAAGUUGACCGCCUGGGGAGUACGGCCGCAAGGUUAAAACUCAAAGGAAUUGACGGGGACCCGCACAAGCGGUGGAUGAUGUGGAUUAAUUCGAUGCAACGCGAAAAACCUUACCUACCCUUGACAUGUCCAGGAGCCUGAAGAGAUUUAGGUGUGCCCGAAAGGGAACUGGAACACAGGUGCUGCAUGGCUGUCGUCAGCUCGUGUCGUGAGAUGUUGGGUUAAGUCCCGCAACGAGCGCAACCCUUGUCGUUAAUUGCCAUCAUUUGGUUGGGCACUUUAACGAGACUGCCGGUGACAAACCGGAGGAAGGUGGGGAUGACGUCAAGUCCUCAUGGCCCUUAUGGGUAGGGCUUCACACGUCAUACAAUGGUCGGUACAGAGGGUUGCCAAGCCGCGAGGUGGAGCCAAUCCCAGAAAGCCGAUCGUAGUCCGGAUCGGAGGCUGCAACUCGCCUCCGUGAAGUCGGAAUCGCUAGUAAUCGCGGAUCAGCAUGUCGCGGUGAAUACGUUCCCGGGUCUUGUACACACCGCCCGUCACACCAUGGGAGCGGGUUCCACCAGAAGUAGGUAGCCUAACCG